GACGAACGCUGGCGGCGUGCUUAACACAUGCAAGUCGAACGGAAAGGCCCUGCUUUUGUGGGGUGCUCGAGUGGCGAACGGGUGAGUAACACGUGAGUAGCCUGCCCUUGACUUUGGGAUAACUUCAGGAAACUGGGGCUAAUACCGGAUAGGAGCUCCUGCUGCAUGGUGGGGGUUGGAAAGUUUCGGCGGUUGGGGAUGGACUCGCGGCUUAUCAGCUUGUUGGUGGGGUAGUGGCUUACCAAGGCUUUGACGGGUAGCCGGCCUGAGAGGGUGACCGGCCACAUUGGCACUGAGAUACGGCCCAGACUCCUACGGGAGGAAGCAGUGGGGAAUAUUGCACAAUGGGCGGAAGCCUGAUGCAGCAACGCCGCGUGCGGGAUGACGGCCUUCGGGUUGUAAACCGCUUUCGACUGUGACGAAGCGUGAGUGACGGUAAUGGGUAAAGAAGCACCGGCUAACUACGUG
rnacentral:rRNA from 1 species